GGGUGUCUGGUGGAGAGAGGUGGUUCUCCAUUUUAAGAGAAGCUCGGACGUUGCUGGCGAGCCUUCUACCGUUGGGUACCUUGGGCGCUAGUGUUGCAGACGAAGGUCAUCUGCUGUAGAAGCUCGGUCAGGGGCUUUCUGUGGACGAAGUUUGGUUUCAUACAGAAUCUGAUAGAAGGUCGACCGGCAGCGGAUGUCGGAUGGCGCUGGAGAGGUUCACCCACUGGAGGGGUCUGGCUGCUGGAGUCUGUG
rnacentral:lncRNA from 1 species